rnacentral:rRNA from 1 species
CAGCAGCCACGGUAAUACGUAGGGUGCGAGCGUUAAUCGGAAUUACUGGGCGUAAAGCGUGCGCAGGCGGUUGUGUAAGACAGGUGUGAAAUCCCCGGGCUUAACCUGGGAACUGCGCUUGUGACUGCACAGCUAGAGUAUGGCAGAGGGGGGUGGAAUUCCACGUGUAGCAGUGAAAUGCGCAGAGAUGUGGAGGAACACCGAUGGCGAAGGCAGCCCCCUGGGCCAAUACUGACGCUCAUGCACGAAAGCGUGGGGAGCAAACAGGAUUAGAUACCCGUGUAGUCCCUGUCUCUUAUAC